GUGCCAGCAGCCGCGGUAAUACGUAGGACGCAAACGUUGUCCGGAUUUACUGGGUGUAAAGGGUGCUCAGGCGGUCUUGUAAGUCAGAGGUGAAAUCUCCCGACUCAAUCGGGAAACUGCCUUUGAUACUGUGAGGCUUGAGUGCAGAAGAGGCGGAUGGAAUUUCUGGUGUAGCAGUGAAAUGCGUAGAUAUCAGAAAGAACACCAGUGGCGAAGGCGGUCCGCUGGUCUGUCACUGACGCUAAAGCACGAAAGCGUGGGUAGCAAACAGGAUUAGAUACCCUGGUAGUCCACGCCUUAAACGAUGGGUACUAGGUGCUGGGCCGCAAGGUUCAGUGCCAAAGCUAACGCAUUAAGUACCCCACCUGGGGAGUACGAUCGCAAGGUUGAAACUCAAAGGAAUUGACGGGGGCCCGCACAAGCAGUGGAGCAUGUGGUUCAAUUCGAUGCAACGCGAAGAACCUUACCUGGGUUUGAAAUGCCGGUGACCGCCGAUGAAAGUCGGUUUCCCCGCAAGGGGCGCCGGUACAGGUGCUGCAUGGCUGUCGUCAGCUCGUGUCGUGAGAUGUUGGGUUAAGUCCCGUAACGAGCGCAACCCUUGUCCUUAGUUGCUAGCGAUUCGGUCGAGCACUCUAGGGAGACUGCCGGUGACAAACCGGAGGAAGGUGGGGGACGACGUCAAGUCAUCAUGGCCCUUACGGGGUGGGCUACACACGUGCUACAAAUGGCCGGUACAGAGGGCUGCGAAGCGGCGACGCGGAGCGAAUCCUUUAAAACCGGUCGUAGUCCGGAUCGGAGUCUGCAACUCGACUCCGUGAAGUCGGAAUCGCUAGUAAUCGCGAAUCAGAAUGUCGCGGUGAAUACGUUCCCGGGCCUUGUACACACCGCCCGUCACACCAUGGGAGUUGACUGCACCAGAAGUAGGUAGCUUAACCGCAAGGGGGGCGCUUACCACGGUGUGGCCAAUGACUGGGGUGAAGUCGUAACAAGGUAGCC
rnacentral:rRNA from 1 species